CACUCCACAGCUUCUCACUCCCUUCUCCGCCGUGGUGCCUUCCCCUUUCAUCACCGUAAAAAAUAGUAAAAAACAGCAGAAUGAUGGAAUAACUAAAUCCAAAUCCCAACUUUUCUAUGUUCUUAUAGAAAAUAUUUGAUUCUCCCUCCAUCUUCCAAUCUUUUUAUUUCCCUUCCCAUUACAAAUCAGUUUUCCAUUCCAAACCCUAACAAAUGGCACCUUUGGACCCUCACUCCUUCACUGAUUCUUAUCACACUUUAACCACCGACAUCUCCCUUUUUCUUUUCUUAGACUUCCCUUCCACCACUAUCUACGCCAUCGCUUUCUUCAUCCUCAAAUCCCCUCAUGUCGAUCAACUUUCUUUUGAUACCCGUUCCCUUUCCAUUCACCAAGUCCUUUCUCCUAUUACCCUUUCCCCUUUCCCCUCUCCCAUUCUCUCUUUCCUCUUCACCUGACCCUAUCAAAGGAACCCAGCUUUCCAUCUCGCUACCAGACGACGAUGUUUUGAACUCCUUCUUCAUCGUUUUCUCUACUUCCCCUUCUUUUUCUGCUCUCCAAUGGCUAUCCCCGCCGCAAACGUUUAACAAAAAAACACCCUUUUGUUUAUACCCAAUGCCAGUGUAUCCACGCGCGUUCCAUUUUCCCAUGUCAAGGCACUCCCGCGGCGAGAAUCCGUUACUCUGCUUUGCUCAAUGUCCCUCGAAAGUUAUCCGCCGUUAUGUUCGCCCACCAUGUCGAUGGGAGGUCACCGAUUUCUGGUGAAGGACAUUCGCAUUUGCUGCCUGGCGGGUUUAAUUUGUUGUGGUUCUUUUGCCUUUUUGCGCCUCUCCUUUUUUUUGGCUUUCUUGGUUCUCAAUUUCUCAAUUCUAUCCAUAGUUGUAUGGGGAAACCAAAGCACUACCGACCUCCGGGAAAGAAAAAGGAAGGAAAUGCUGUGAGAUGUGUGACGAGGUCACAAGCUAUUAAAAUCCUUCAAGUUAGCCUUUCAGAUUUUAGGUCCUCGGGUUCAACUACAUAAUACAAAUCCCACCUCUGAACUUCAUUUUUCCUUCAAAAUAAAGCUUCGAUUUGAUCUAUUUUAGUGAGACAAAUGGCUGAAAAUCUUAUGCAUGCUUUACAAUAUAACAACUAUGGCAGAGGCGCUGCUGUUUUGAAGCAUGUUGAAGUUCCGAUCCGAACUCCAAAUAAAGGUGAAAUUUUGCUUAAACUGGAGGCAAUUAGUCUAAACCCAGCUGACUGGAAAAUACAGAAAGGGAUGCUGUGCCCACUUUUACCUAGAAAAUUCCCCUUCAUACUUGCAAGUGAUGUAGCCGGUGAAGUCGUAAAGGUUGGACCAGGAGUCACAAAUUACAAAGUUGGGGAUAAAGUUGUAUCUCUUCUUGAUCAUUUGGUAAGUUCUCAUUCUCAUUCUUAACAUUUGAAUUUCAUGAUUAGGGUUUAACGAAGCUUCUAGUAGACAAUGCGCCAAAGGCCAUGAAGGAACAGAAAUUAGAGACCUCUUUCGGCCGCAAGAUUGCCAUCGAUGCCAGCAUGAGCAUUUACCAGUUUCUCGUUCGUAUAUUGUUCCCUCGAAAAGAAAAAAAAUGAAAGUUUUCUCUUUUAUAUCCAUUUGAGAGCUAAGACUAACUAAUAAUUUUUUUUUUAAUUUUGGGUUGACUGUAGAUUGUGGUGGGUUGUAUGGGGACUGAAAUGCUCACUAAUGAAACCGGUGAAGUUACUAGGUUUUUAAUAUAUUUUUCUCUUCAUUCAUUAAUUCUUUUUUAUCUUACAAAACUAUCGUUAGCUGAUUCUUAUUUUAUUUUUUACCUUUUCAAUUACAUUUUCAUUAUUUGGUUCAUAAAAUGUUUACAUGGGUUCUGCUGGCGUAAUCCAAUCAUUUGCAAGGUAUGUUUACUCGGAUAAUUCUACUUCUUGAAGCUGGGCCUGUGUAAUGUGUUUCUUUCCCUUUUCUUUUCAUUUUCCUUAGAAGUUAAUUAGUCAGUCAUUUUAACACAGAUAUUUUCUACCUUAUGCUGCCUAUACAGUAUCACAACCCAAAGGCCUUUUAUUUGCUAAUGCUUGUGGUAUUUUCUUUCAGCUAUGUUUUUGAUGGGCAACCUCCAGAUUUGAAAAAACAAGAGCUUGUUACUCAAAGAGGGCUGAUGCUACUGAGGAUUUGCAAGAAGCCAUGGAGUGUUUUGUAGACAUAGGUGACUACCUCAUAUUGCUGCAGUCUUGGGCACUUUACUGGAUGCCUUUCUUGGCAUUAGUUAGUCACCAAGCAUAUAUAUUUCCACUCGUGAAUAGAUGGAGUACUAAUCCGGGUAUCAGAAGGCCAUACACGAUUCCGAUAGACAGUAAGAUGAUUGAGACAAACAUUGGGGAGGGGUUCAUUUGGAUGCCCUAUUCUUUCCUAGACAUUGCGACUGUUAUUCCCUUGUCUACUCACAUUCACUCACACUUGUGGUGCAUUAACGCACCCAUUAUCAAAUUCUAGACAGUGGAGUGGUAUCAUAGGGAUCGAGUAAUGCGACAGUUUCGGUGCAUACAGUACAUCUCGGCAUUGUCAGGUGAAUUGGGGAAGAUCCACGGAAUUAACAAGGGAGGGAAACAAGGAUUGAACUGGGCGGUAGCGCAUCAACAAUAUAUUGCAGUGUGGAACAACCAGAUGGGGCGGAGACCUCAUAUGGAUCUUUCUUUCAAUUUGGAUCCUUCAUUAGAGUAUAUACAGUGGUACUUCAAGAUAGGGAAACAAUAUUUAUUUGGUAGGCAAUCAAUGGUAGCCCCCCACACAUGCCACGACUAGGGAAACCCUAUUAUCCCCUCUUACAUCCGCCUCCUGCACUCGAACUUGAAUUGGAGCCCUUGCCUAAACCUGAGCUGAUGCCCGAGUCUGGGGGUAAUUCUUAUCAUUUGAACUUGGGGGUCGAUAAUUAUUUCUAAGGUUCGUCAGGCUACGGAUAUCAUUUGGAGUUUUUCAGAUCCAGUUCUGAUCAUCUAGAUCCGAGAUCAUCGAUGCCGUUUGAUAUCUUCAGCCCAUUAUCACCACAGUACUCCACUCCUCCCGGGCAAACAUUUGGGGUAUACGAUUUUUUUACUAUGUUUAACACACCCUAGACUCGGGGUAGGAUAACGUUAAUCACUGUUAGCACCCGCAACGUCAAUGCCGGGCACCAUAACGAUUUAUCCCUAAGACCACACCAUCGAAUCAUCAAUUUUAGGGGUUUCUAUAAUUUCAAUGUUCAAGUUUGUAUUUAUUUAAUUAUAUUAAUAUUUGGGCAUUCUAACUCAA